rnacentral:rRNA from 1 species
UACGUAGGCAGCGAGCGUUGUUCGGAAUUACUGGGCGUAAAGAGUGUGUAGGCGGUGUUCCCAGUCUGUUGUGAAAUCUCCCGGCUUAACUGGGAGGGUGCAGCGGAAACUAGAAUGCUAGAGGGUGGGAGAGGUAAGCGGAAUUCCUGGUGUAGCGGUGAAAUGCGUAGAUAUCCGGAGGAACACCAGUGGCGAAGGCGGCCUUCUGGGAUGCUCCUGACGCUCAGACACGAAAGCUAGGGGAGCGAACGGG